rnacentral:rRNA from 1 species
UACGUAGGGUGCAAGCGUUGUCCGGAAUUAUUGGGCGUAAAGAGCUCGUAGGCGGUUUGUCGCGUCUGCUGUGAAAACUCGGGGCUUAACUCCGGGCCUGCAGUGGGUACGGGCAGACUAGAGUGCGGUAGGGGAGACUGGAAUUCCUGGUGUAGCGGUGAAAUGCGCAGAUAUCAGGAGGAACACCGAGGGCGAAGGCAGCUCGCUGGGACGGUACUGACGCGGAGGCGCGAAAGCGUGGGGAGCAAACAGG